UUUGGAAAGGAAAAAAAUUUCAUUGAACAGCCAUGAGAUUUGGAUCUCCUACAUCACACUCCCCAAAGGCACAGCAAGUACACCAAUGGUACAGUUACCAAUGGCCCUUUCUACUUCAGGACUAGGGGCUGCUUGUCAAAAUCUGAAUGCCUCUGGACUAAAGUGGAACAGUAUCUACCAAGGCUUCAGGUCUAAACAUCAGCUAUUCUAAUCCCAUUCCCCCCACCUUCCCAACCUUAGAAUACGAGUCUGCCCCAUUUGGAGAAGCAGCAGAUCUGGGCUGGGGAGGUUGAGGAGAGGGACGCUCCAGAGCUAAGGGUGACCAAGAUUCCUGGGCACCCAUACACUGGGGACUAUGUCAAGGACACAGAACAAUGCCAAGAUACUACUCAUCCCCCACCCUCCCCCUCCCGACUCUAAACACACACACACACACACACACACACACACACACACACACCACUAGGGAAGUGAGACCCACUGAAACAAGUACAAGUAUCAGCACAGCCAGAGAGCCAGCCUAGUGCCAAGAUGCCUGAGCCAAGAUGACUCUGACCCAGGCUGUGAGGACAACCAGGGCUCCUGGCACCAUGCCUCCACCCCCUGUCUGGGACAGGCACGUGCCACACAGGCAGACAAGUUAGGAAACCAACAGACCUUGGGUUUUAAUUUAAUUUUAUUUUUUUCACAUGGGCAGUAGAGGAUGGAGUUACCCCAUCCUUACUCCGCUUGCAUUGACUGUGCCUCGGGUCUUAAGACCCUAAAGUGUCAUUUAGAACUCACUCCCAGAGCAGGAAGAAAGCAUUGUUGGUGGGCUAGGGGAGGGCCCCAGCUCCCAGCCAGGUUAAGCACCCCUCAGGAGCUCUCUGAGGCCUGCCACUUUAAGUCUUUUGCAGACAGCAGGACAAAGUCAUAUAGCUGGAGACUGGCCCCUUCCUUUGGCAUGGUCCACCCUAGCCCUGGGGACAGAGGCUGAGGGUGAUGGAACGAGGGUGAGAGAAAAAUGACCCAUCUGAAACCAUGGUACCCUCAAGCUUCCAGUCCAACAAAGUGCCCUCUACUACUUCUCAUGGACACCCAUUCACCACUUAAAAGACUUCAAGCCACAAGGCUGGACACAGAAGACAAGACUCCACCUUCAACCAGUCUUCCCAGUUGGGGAGCCUGGGGAAAGAGCUUUUCAAGCCUGCUUGUCCGUGGGUCAUAUUGGAGGAGAAAAGGUGGGAAUGGAGGGGCCUGACAUUGCCAUUGGUCCUGGACAUAAGAGAUAGCCACACUCUUGCAUCUAGAAAAAACAGAGGGGUCAAAAAGCACCAUCACCUUCCAGGAGGGCUUUGCUAGUCCUGAUGGGGUGAGGGGAUGUCUACCUCUGAUCAGGUGAGGGAUAUGAGGCUGCAUCUUUGAGCUCUCUGGGUCAUCCUGGACUACCAGCUUUCCCAGGAGCUCCUUCAGCCUACCCUCCCUCCCCCUUCAAGCCUGCCACCUUUCCCAGAAGCUGCCUGCUGAUCCAGGGCCUGCACACUCCCAAAAUCUGGGCCCCAGCCGCAGGAGAAAGCUGAGCAGACCCGAGUCCCCUCAGGCGGCCUUGCUCAGCCUGUAGUCUUCCACCGGCUCCCGGCUCUCGACGGCCGACAGGGCGAUGAACAUCUGAGCAGCAUAAUAAGUGGACAUGAUGAGGGCUCGGGAGUAGGGCACGGGGAAGCAGAACUUGUUGAGGGCGAUGGUCAGGUCGGAGAGGAUGAAAAGCAGAGCGCCGACACCGGCUGCCAGCUCUGUCCACCGCCAGGCUGCCCCACCCAGCCGCAGCCCUGCCAUAGCCCUCCAGCCCAUGAAGCUGAUAAGGGUCACGUAGACCCCCACUAGGUAGGUGAAAGCACCUGACAGCCUCGGGUAGAGGAGGGCAUAGCACAGGCCUGACAGCACUCCGAUCACCAGGCCUGUCCGAAGAGCCAGCGGCCG
rnacentral:lncRNA from 1 species